CUGAACAUGGCCGGGGUAGAUUAAACACAGUUCUUCUACAGGACAUUGGGAUUGAAUUGAAAAAGAAACAGACCAAUUGCACUGUCUUUUCGUUUUAGAUUGUUUGAUAAAACACGAUGCCACGUGUUCCAUGAUUUAUGGAUAAACGGUUUGUCAAAAUCGUACGUCUAAUUGUACGAGUGUGUUCCAAUCUGAAGGAUAAAGGAGAUGAAUCCAAGCUGCCAAGUAUGGCUUGUCAGAAUCCAUCACGUUCACCUUCCACCUUCCGAUGUUCUACAGCACGCCAAACCAAUAAAAAGCAGACAAGAGACAAGAGCUUCAUCAAUCCAUCAAUUUGACACCGGCACCGCAACACACUGAUGAAUGGUUUGGUGCCGGCUCGGAAUGGAAAGAAGGUGUUGACAUCAAGAUUCGUUCCCGCUCCCGGCACACUGAUCUCGCCGACACGCGACAUGCUUAUCAAAAUCUAUUACAGCUUUCCUUUGCGGCAAAAGCAUAAGCCGGUUUCCUAGAGUGUGCACUUAAUGGUGAACGCGAAAGGAAACGAAUGACAUCAAGGAUCGCAAAUCUCCUCGAUUCGAUUUGUGCCACCACGAAGAUGAUGAACGAACUGGUUGGAGAAACGUAUACGGAGCAGGGAAUGUUGGAAAACAUGCUGAAAACACACAGAUACACAUAGCAAACGUUUGCCGGCGCAAUA